rnacentral:misc_RNA from 1 species
CUUGGUCAUUUAGAGGAAGUAAAAGUCGUAACAAGGUCUCCGUUGGUGAACCAGCGGAGGGAUCAUUACAGAGUUGCAAAACUCCCUAAACCAUUGUGAACAUACCUUCAACGUUGCUUCGGCGGGUUGGCCCCGGUCUCCGGGGUCCCCGGCCCUACUCGGGCGCCCGCCGGAGGUAUCUAACUCUUGAACUUUUAUGGCCUCUCUGAGUCUUUGUACUUAAUAAGUCAAAACUUUCAACAACGGAUCUCUUGGUUCUGGCAUCGAUGAAGAACGCAGCGAAAUGCGAUAGGUAAUGUGAAUUGCAGAAUUCAGUGAAUCAUCGAAUCUUUGAACGCACAUUGCGCCCGCCAGUAUUCUGGCGGGCAUGCCUGUUCGAGCGUCAUUUCAACCAUCAAGCCCCCGGCUUGUGUUGGGGACCUGCGGCUGCCGCAGGCCCUGAAAUGCAGUGGCGGGCUCGCUGUCACUCCGAGCGUAGUAGUUACAUCUCGCUCUGGGCGUGCUGCGGGUUCCGGCCGUUAAAAGCCUUAUUUACCCAAGGUUGACCUCGGAUCAGGUAGGAAGACCCGCUGAACUUAAGCAUAUCAAUAAGCGGAGGA